GUGCUACUCCCUCCGUUCGGAAUUACUUGUCGCAGAAACGGAUGUAUCUAGAUGUAUUUUAGUUCUAGAUACAUCCAUAUCCGAGACAAGUAAUUCCGAACGGAGGGAGUACUUU
rnacentral:pre_miRNA from 1 species